GUCGAAGACUACGACGUUGAUAGGCUGCAGGUGUAAAGACAGUAAUGUCAAAGCCGAGCAGUACUAAUUACCCGUGAGCUUUCUUGUU
rnacentral:rRNA from 1 species